GAGAAGAGUUAUAAACGUAGAGACUGCUAAUUACCUACACCAUGGUUAAAUUCCAUGAUCUACUCA
rnacentral:tRNA from 1 species